UCUGUACAGACAUCUGCCUGUUCCCUGCCUGCUCCCUACCUGUCAUGCCAAGGGCCUGCCCAUCCCCAGCUUUGCCCCUGGCACUGCUGGCACGUACCCUUUUGUGGGGUCUGCACUUGGGCAAAUGCUACAGAAGAAGGUCGGGGUCCCUCAUGGGGACUGAUGCAUGGUGAGAGCUGCCAGUGUGGACACAGUGCAGACCUCUGCCCAUUUUCAUCCCCAGGAGGAUCCCUGUCCUCUUGCUCAGCCCUGCAUGUCCCCAGCUCCUGGUGUGGCCCUGCAUGUCCCCUGCUCCAGUGGGACCCCUGGCCCUUGGUGCAGCCCUACAUGUCCCCAGCCCCAGCAAGACCACCAGCCCCCAGCCCAUCUCUCUGCCCCCCACUGCGUGAUUUACAGGCUCUGCACAGGCAGACAAAUGGUGAAGGAAAACAGGGCAGGGGUUCCCGCCAGCCGGGGACUGCCUGUGCCCCGCGGGGGGCAGAGGGGCCGUUUGCUCACAGCCAGCAGGAUGGGAGGCACUGAAGUGGUGCCUGUGCCAGGCAGCACAGCUGCCCCUGUCAUGGUCCAGUGGCCACAAGCCCUGGAAGCACUAGGAGACCUCAUGGAGGUCCCAGACCCCAAGAGCCAUACCACAAGCGACAGUCCUGCAACCAUAUCCUUUUGCCCAUGGGGCACUGAGGAAGAUGAUGCCACCCCAUUGCAUGACCCCCAGGGCACCCCACUGACCACCUCACUGGGGUUUGUGAUAUGCCAGCUGCAUUCCGUGGCCACUGUCUCAGCGCUGGUAAACCUCCAAGAUUUCCCCCAGCAUCCCUCUCUGGCUGUGGAGCUUCUGGACAGUGGGGAUUGCAGCUGGGCCGUCCACCAGGAGCCAGGUCCUGCCCUCCACACGUUUUUGCCUCUUGACCUGCAUCGUGCCUGGAGCAUCGUGGAGGAGGAGGAAGGGGAGGAAGGCAGGCAGGAAGCCUCCUGCCUGCUUGGUUCAGCUGGCUACCCCCCUGCCUGCUCCCGGGAGCGUUGGGCUCAGGGCUGGGGGGUUGAAGGCAGAGUGGGACCCACAUUGACCUCGCUGGUGAGGAGGAGCAGGGCCAUAGUCUGUGGUAUUGAGC
rnacentral:lncRNA from 1 species